rnacentral:rRNA from 1 species
GUGCCAGCAGCCGCGGUAAGACGAACCGUGCGAACGUUGUUCGGAAUCACUGGGCUUAAAGGGCGCGUAGGCGGCAGACCAAGUCCGGGGUGAAAGCCCCCAGCUCAACUGGGGAAGUGCCUUGGAUACUGGUGUGCUCGAGGGAGGUAGGGGUCGAGGGAACUUCUGGUGGAGCGGUGAAAUGCGUUGAUAUCAGAAGGAACGCCGGUGGCGAAAGCGCUCGACUGGACCUCUUCUGACGCUGAGGCGCGAAAGCCAGGGGAGCAAACGGGAUUAGAUACCCCCGUAGUCC